AACGCGAAGAACCUUACCUAAGCUUGACAUCCUUUUGACCGAUGCCUAAUCGCAUCUUUCCCUUCGGGGACAGAAGUGACAGGUGGUGCAUGGUUGUCGUCAGCUCGUGUCGUGAGAUGUUGGGUUAAGUCCCGCAACGAGCGCAACCCUUGCCUUUAGUUGCCAGCAUUAAGUUGGGCACUCUAGAGGGACUGCCAGGGAUAACCUGGAGGAAGGUGGGGAUGACGUCAAAUCAUCAUGCCCCUUAUGCUUAGGGCUACACACGUGCUACAAUGGGUGGUACAGAGGGCAGCCAAGUCGUGAGGCGGAGCUAAUCCCUUAAAGCCAUUCUCAGUUCGGAUUGUAGGCUGAAACUCGCCUACAUGAAGCUGGAGUUACUAGUAAUCGCAGAUCAGAAUGCUGCGGUGAAUGCGUUCCCGGGUCUUGUACACACACGGGGGGAACGCGAAGAACC
rnacentral:rRNA from 1 species